CUCUUCUCCAUUGUUUCUAUUGAUUCUGUGUCUUGGGAUUUUGACAGGAAAGGGGCUCCGGUUUAAAGCCAGUUGGAGUUAGCAGUCGAGGGUUUCAGGAAUGCCGACAUUAUCACAGAAGUGGCCAGAGCAGUGAGUCUGCAUGUGGGUCCAAGAUUUUCCCCAGCCUUCCUUUGAGCAGUGGUUCUGGUUACAGCUAACUAAAAAUUACAGUUCAUUCUGACCUUCUUCACCGAGGCUGGUUUGCAGCACCUAGACAGCUGAGAUCUGCUUUGUGCCGAGCACUUCCACGCAACGUAAUAAUAGGCAGUUCUUGUGCUAACACUGCUGUCAGUAAUAGGGAGUUUAUAACUGUUCUUUAAGAGAAUGCAAGUGGAGAAUAGAGUGAUGUGUUGUUGGAUGUUUCCUUAAAAAUGCUACAAAAAGUUAAAACGUUGUCAAGCGGGCAGCACUGCUUGUGUCUGUGCUUUUAUCAUCUGGAGAGGGUCUGGGAGCUAGACUGAGGAGGCUGUCCAGUUUGUUUUGGAGGUUAUUUGUUGACUGUAACUUCAGUAGCUGAAAGCAGGUGCUGCUUGGAAGACGCCGUAGGACUUGGAAUUGUCUAUGUCUGAGGAAGGAAGCUUUUUAGAAACCAUUGGCUCUUGCUGCCUCCUUCACAUGAAUAUAAUGAUGUUGCUCCAGUGUUCCACCAUGAAAAAUAUCAAUCAAGUCUCCUAGAUGUGCUUUGUGGGAGAAAAUAUGAGCAGUAAGGUGUGUGCCACCACUGGUAGCAUACACGAUUGUGUGCCACAAUGACAGAAUCUCUUGCUAUGGAGUAGCUGAAUGAACCAUUAAUUCAACCUUCCUUCUGAAAAGAGAAAGCUUAGUAGUCUUACUGAGUAUUGUACUGAUACUUAUCUAUGUAAAAUACUUUUUUUUCCUUAACGAAUUCCCAUUAAUUGUUUAUAGCUAACUCAAAUUUAUUCAAAAAGUUUUUGUGAUACAAUUUAUAAGAAUUCUUUGGGAUCUCUGGGUGCUUCCCAACUGUUGAAUUGUUGAUGUGUUUUGUUAAACUUCUUACUCUGAUCAUCACUUCAUGUAUUAACAUAUUCAUGAUGAGUGAAUGCAAAAGGGAACACAAAGACAAGAAACACAUUCAAAUAUUAAUUUGAGUGAAUACUUUUUGAAGAUUUGAUCUGGUGCUAUUCAAAAUGCGGUGCUUCUGAAUCAGGAGCAAUAAAGUCACAAGAGAGAGUGCUGGAAGUAAUCCAUGGACAUCCUGUUCUUAUUAGAAGUGGGCUAAAGCAUUCUGACAGAUUUCAAACCUGCUGAAAUAUUCUUCUUCUUUUUUUUUUUUUACUUCUUUUACACCAGCAUUACUGGGAGCACAUCUUACUUAUCUGUUUAAGGGUGGCUAUGAAAAAGGGAGAAGACAGAGAUAUAUUUGGUGAAAAAUAGGGUGAGAAAAGAAGCAGAGAGUUGACUGUGUGAAGAAAGAAAGAGACACCCUGGGAAAGCAGCAGAGAAAAGGGAAAGAAAAGAAAUCCUAAUUUUUUAAAAUAUGACUCCUUAGAACUGAGACUGUGCCAAACCCUGGACUUGGAGGCUAUUCUGUCCUUAAUACAUUGCACAUGAUUGUCUGUAGCUAGAAAAACAUUUUUUGUGGGUUUUGAAAAAUCAAAUUACCCUUAUAUGAAAUAAAACAAACUAUGAGUUUAUAUGGCAGAGUAAAAAGAAACCAAAUUCAUUUUGCAAGCCUUUAGAGAGUUUAAAAAUCCCUUAGGCUCACAAAAACUCAAACUCCGUAGCGUUCAAAUAUUCAAAUGUUGUAGGAGGUACAAUUGACUUAAUUCCAUUUACUUUAAUUAAGUUUUCAUCAGACUCUUUCUAUUUAGUUAACUGAUUCUCCUCUCAAGGCAUGUUUAUAUUAAGGGCAAGAUCCAAAAUACCAUAUGGAUACUUCCUGUGCAAUCUAGAUAGCCAUUAAGUAAGGAGAUUGGUUAUAAAACCUGUGUAACUUUAAAAGCUACAAGACUGUAGGCAGUUUGGUAUCCCUUAGGAAUGCCUUUCUGCUCCAUAUCUGAAGCAUGGGCCUCAAGCUUAGCAUCUUGGCAGACCAGCAGGGUCUGUUCUCAGAUGCCAUGCUGCCUACCUAAGCUUAUGACACUCAAACCUGCAAUGCCAGCUUGUCUUCUACAAAAGUGAUACCUAUUGAGUGGGUGACAAAACUGGGAUGUACAUGGAGUUAGAUGCUGAAACAAGGUGUGUAAAGCCUCUGAUAGGCAAUAGAGACACCAUGCAAUUGAGUGGAGGUAAGAACGGCUGUCCAGGGUCACGACAAGAAUUCACCCAGCCCUGCUACUUGACUGGCAGGGAGGCAUGAUGGUCAUGAAGGUGAUUUCCUAGGUAGGGCCUCAUUCCUUGUACUUCUGGUGACCUGACCACUGAAAAUUCUGUGAUUUAGGGAACUACACUGUAAAAUUUGUAAUGUGAGAUACUGUAUAUGUAUGUUUUCUUAAAUUAAAACACAAUCCCACCUCCAAACUCCCAUUAAUGUUAAGUGGAUGCCUAGAGUAGAACACAGUAAACAGUGAUCUGAUUGCAGCUUAAAUCUAUACCAACUUGGAACAUCUUUGAUGUUCCUUGUAAGGAAUUGCACCCAUUUCAUGAAAACUGUAUUUUUCAGUUCUGUUUGAAUUCUCAUUUGGGGCUUCAUUUGAUAUCCCCCACUCUUGAACUGGAAGAUUCAGCAAAACGUUGGUGCCAGACUACCUUCACCAUGACACGACUUCACACACUUCCGCCACAUCCCUCCUCAGUCAUCUGUUUCCCAGACUGCAGAGUCCCGAAUUGUUUGAUAGUUUCCUUGUAUGGAAGUUGUUGCAGACCUCUGACCAUAUGUCCUUGCUCUUUCCCAGUUUUUCUGUGUUACGUGCCUUCACUAUUGCUCUAUAGAAUAAUGUGUAGUUCAUUUUUCUUAGGAUACAUUUAUAUAUACAUUUGUAUAUAUGUGAGGCUAUGCAAGUACUUGCGAUGUUUUUCACCUGCUCUUCUACCAUGGAUAUCUUCUUCCACAGAUCUGUUUAUUUAUGAUUGUACCUGGACCAGGUUUGGGAAUUUGGGUGUCACAGAGUCACAGAAUUGUAGGGUUUGGGAGGAACCUCUGGAGAUCAUGUCCUACCUUCCAGGCCAGUAUGUGACCUCUUGACCAGAGCUGCACAGUCUCUUUCUCAGACUCAUUAAAGAAUGAGAUCAGCAGUUAUGCCGUGUACAAUGCAGCUGCUCCAAGGCACCCUUACUGCAGCCUGGCUCCAGCCCUACUGCUUUAGGUCAUCUCUGAGAUGACAGAGCUUGUGGUCUGUUUGGAACUGGGUGCUGGUUGUCCUUAUCUUCUAUAAUUGCUUAGCUGUUGUAACACUUUUUCUCUUCCUCCUCUAAGUGAAAUAGCAUCUACUGUGAUACUUCCUCAUGUGCUUGCUCCUAUGGAUGUACUGUGUGUGUCCAUGUGCCAGGCAGUGUUAGUAAGCAUGCAGAGUGAGACCUUGAGCCCCCUACAGACAGGUACCAAAUUGCGUUCCAAAAACACUGCUGACAAAAAUGGAGAUGAGAGGAUAUUUCAAGAUUUGCAGUUUGUGUUUAAGUGUUUUAUGUCUGCUUACAUCCAACUUAGGUGCCCAUGAUCUCAUGAGAAGCUAUUUCUUGGCCUCCUUACACAUAAGUAUUUCUAUCUUACAGAAGUAGUUCCCCAUCUGAGGUGGGUGCAUGGACACAGGUGGACUAAAUAUGCACUGAUACUAUCUUAUUUAGGACUGAGCAAGUCCGCAGUUUAACUGAAUCUGUAGUAGAUGUCACUGAAUUGCACAGAAGGCUGCUGAUAAGCUAUUGCAUCAUCAUAGGUGCCUACCACAUACAGCAGUUUCGACUUGGAUAUGAGGUCAAUAAUGUCCUCAGUGGCUGACAUAGGAGGCAGAGGUUACAGUAAGGAUCUGUCUCUACAGUUUCACAAAGAUAGUGUUACUGUUAUCCUUGCUUAACACAUCAGCUUGGGAUACAGAGUGAUUUUGAUGUAUGUAAGCCAUGAUCGCUCAAAGUCUUUGAAAGAGCCAAGAGGUGACAUCUGUUCUCCUGCAUCCUAGUAUGGUAAUUGGCCACUGAAGCCUUUUUUGUUCAUUAUUCAGAUAUUUUGGAAAAAUUAUUAUCACUGUUCUUAUGCUUUCUACUCUUCUCCUGAGAACAAAACAAAUCCUUCCGAGGGAAAAAAAGAGUUAGGUAAUGAUGGUCUGUGGAGUUGGUGAGGAUAAUCUUUCUUUCAGUGACUUGUCUUUUCCUGUAAGCACCUCCAAAUGUUAUUGCUCUCCAUGGAGCAGGUUUAUAAAAUAAUGGGUAAGUCAUACUAAUUAUCCUGUGAGCUGUAAGGGCUGCCUGCUUUUCCUUUAGAGAAAGUAAGUCAGCUUUCACAUCUUUGCUAAAAUUCAUAGCAAGAUAGUGAAGGAGCUCAUUUCUCACUGCAGUAAAGGAAGAAGGAAAUGGCAUAGAAGUUUGUCUCUGAAUUUGCCUAUUUCAGUCUGCAAAUAAUGAUUUGUAAAUAGAAUUUUUGGGUGAUAUUUUCUCUACCAUGUGCUAACAACACGCUGCUCUGUUCAGCUGCUUGAAACAAAUAGAACUGAUGCUGAAAAGUGAAAUAAAAGCAUCACUAAAUUAGCUGCAUAACAUCCAGAUCAAUGUACCUUUCUAAGAGCAAAAUAGCGGGUACUACUCUUCUUUGGGUCAUAGCAACUGGUUGAUCAGUGUCAACAGAUAUGUUAUAGCUCCAGAAUGAGCUAUGAAAAUGCCAAGGUUAGAUUUUCUUAUUUGAUACUUCAUCACAAAAUUUCAACCGGACUGGAUUCCCCACAGGGGAUCUUAAACUAGAAAUCCAGAUAUAUCUGGGAAUAACUUUAGUGAGCAAAAAGUGAUAAUAAUAAAAAUAAUGUGUACUUCGUAUAGAGGAGUAUAAGUGUUUUUCUAAAUACCAAUCAUUUCCAGUAAUAUCCAUUUCAUCCACUUCAUUUAUUAUGGUCUGUAUGAACCUCUUUGUAUCUGUGAAUACAGAAUAAAGAAUUCUGCUCUCAAAGCCUUGAAAGCUCUAUUACUAGUGAAUUCAUGAGGAAAAUGCUGCUGACAAAAUAUAUACAUAUAUAUUUUGACCCAUUGCCUCUUUAUCCCCAUUUAAGUGACUAGUGUUAACAUCACUGUCCAAGUAUAUUCACGCACAGGAGCUUUUACUUUGCUUUCCAUCACUGAGUAGCUGUGCCUACUGAACGUAGUUGCUAUCAUGUUAAAAGCAUGUGAGAUGACCUGCCCAAGUAUUCUCUUGCUGAUUCCUCUUUUCUGGAAUGUAUUCACAUAAAUGUUCCUUCUAACUUCCUUUGUUUAGUAAUGCGUGAGUGCUUACAUCCUGGUAUUGAAAUUAUUUUUUGCUUAUAGUUGAACUGAUGUCAUGCAUCAUACACACUAAUAUAAUGUAUAUUAUAUAUAGGUACUCAUGCUUUUUUUUUAGCCACUCUUUUAUGAAUAGUGAAGAAUGAAUGAGGACAUAUCAAGUUAUGUAAUUAUUGAUGUCUGCCUUGAGCACUGUAACCUGUUAAUGUCAAAAUAGAAACCUGCAUGGUUAUUACUGCAAAAUAAGGUCACAAAUAAGGAGUAGAAAUACUCAAAAUGCAUUGGAAUAUGAGGACAAGUAUAUAAUCAAAAGUUGUUGUCAGCUAUAUUAAAGAAAAUUAUAGUUGAUUUAACUUAAUGGUAUGUUCAUAUCUGAAGUAAGAAAUGCAUUAGUUUUGAAGAAGUUUAACCAAAGCUAUUUUACAGUACAGAAAAAUUUUAAAACAUACAUUGUACAGUUCAUGGAUCAGAUUUUUGUUUGUAUUCUGUUUAGAGCUACCAUUCGAAUGAUUUGUGAAUAACAUUCUGCAGGGUAUAUUUUUUAUUCUUCUGCCUCCAAAACAAGAAUUGUUUUUAUUUAUACAAAAGAAAAGCUUAAUCAAAAUAGAAUAUAAUGUAGUUCUGAACCAGGUAAUAUUUUUUUGGAAACAAUUAUCUGUUUAUUAAACAAUAAUGAUUUUCCUGUAGUUUUG
rnacentral:lncRNA from 1 species